rnacentral:tRNA from 1 species
GUCAGAAUGGCCGAGUGGUUAAGGCACCAGACUCAAACGUCAAGUAUUCUAAUUGUUGGCUAUUGCGAAAUGGUGAAUGAUGCGAUUACUUACUCUCUCUCGAUGUAUUUAAAAGGUCUAAAGUAAAAACAGACAAUUCUACAACCCUUCUCACUUUUCUCCAGAAGAGUAUGUUGCUGAGCGAUCUGGAUUUUACAGCGUUCUCGCCUUCCCUUCCUCGUUGUGAUCUGAUCCUUCGCAAGGGAAGAAGAAGAAACGCUGUAAAGCGUGGGUUCGAAUCCCACUUCUGGCA